rnacentral:rRNA from 1 species
CCUAAUAGGGCAAACCCGUCUCUGUGGCAAAAGAGUGGGAAGAUCUCCGAGUAGAGGCGACAAACCUAACGAGCCUAGUAAUAGCUGGUUGCUCAGGAAAGGGGACACUUCAGCCUCAAGGCUUCUACUGUCACUCAGGUCACUACCAACAAAGACAUCAAGAAACCCUUAAGAGUUAUUCAACACKCCUCCCCCUCUCUUGGCCYUUUUAACAAKAWWAACAGGCGGAUAAAGAUCACAUUAAAUCAAAGGGACUUUGUUUCAGUGGGCCUAAAAGCAGCCACCUGCACAGAAAGCGUUAAAGCUCAGACUUAACCUCACCCUAUUAUCCCGAUAAAACAAUCACAAUCCCCUAAACCUACAGAGCCACUCUAUACAACUAUAGAAGCAAUAAUGCUAAAAUUAGUAACAAGAAGGCACGACCUUCUCCAAGCACACGUGUAAGUCAGAUCGGACCCACCACUGACAAAUAACGGACGCGAGAAGAGGGAAGUACAGAAUAGUAAUAGAAAUCAAGAAAACCCUGUAAAAUACUACCGUUAACCCAACACAGGAGUGCACCAUCAAGGAAAGACUAAAAGAAAAAGAAGGAACUCGGCAAACACGAGCCUCGCCUGUUUACCAAAAACAUCGCCUCUUGCAAACCAAUGUAUUAGAGGUCCCGCCUGCCCUUCGACCAAAAGUUU